UCUUAUUACUUUUCCAGGUGAUUGGCUCAGAAGCUUCUGUGGAUUUAUGAGGAAAAAUGUGAAAUUGUCUACUUACAAGGAUGCUGUACCAAGCAGUUGCUAAGUGCCCUUGAGAUGACUAGGAAUGCCAACGUUGUCUAGUGUGAAUCUUAUAAUGGAUAUAAACAUGUUUUCAUCUGAACUGGAUAGACAUCCAUCAGCACAGCAUUGGACCAGAAACAGCAAAGGCAGAUGAUGCUUUACAGUGUUUGUGAGGCAUUUACAUGAGAGCCCACAAGGACUGUGUCAGAGGUGUCAUCGCACGCUCUGGAUCAAAUCAACAUCCAUUUUCCAUUCAGG